rnacentral:tRNA from 10 species
GUCUUUGGUUAAAUAUAAAAUACAUUUGGUCUUCUGAAACCAAAUAUUAAUUAAGAAACAUCUCAAGGUUUUCUUUUUGAAAAACUGAAGUCACGAGUCUUUUUUUUUUUUUUUUUAAACAGUCUUGCUCUGUUAACCAGGCUGGAUUGCAAUGAUACAAACUCAGCUCACAGCCACCUCUGCUUCCCAAACUGAAGUAAUCCUCCCUCCUUGGCCUCCUGAGUAGCUGGGACUACAGGUGUGUGCCACCAUGCCCAGCUAAUGUUUAAAUUUUUUGUAGAGAUGAGGUCUCAUUAUGUUACUCAGGCUGGUCUCAAACUCCUGGGCUCAAGCAAUCCUCCCACCUCACCUUUCCAAAGUGCUGGGAUUUCAGGUGUGAACCACCUUGCCCAGCCAAAGUCAUAAUACUUGAAAGGCUGAAUUAUGAACAUAGAGUUGAUAUACUUUGCAUGUAUGUUUGAAAACUCUUUGGAUCCAUAUAAAAUAGAUGAUCACAGUGCUUUGUGCAUAGCAGGUGUUCUCUUGAGAUUAAUUAAGCACGUUUAUUGACUCCAUUCCCUCUUACUGUGCUACAUGUUUCUGAAGGGAAGUGCGACCAUUACCCAGAGCUCAAUUACACUGUCGGCUUUACCAGAGACACAAACUCCCAAAAGGGUCAAAUCAAAUUAGAAAGAAUAGAAAGGAUUAUGUGAAUUUUUAAUGUUUUGGAUUUUUUUAAUUUGGUUUAGUUUGGUAUUUUGUUUUUUGUUGUUGUUGUUUUGUUUUGUUUUUAAUCCUCUCCUCUACCCCUCACAGCCUACAUGCGUGUGGAAACACUUCAGGUGAGUGAGGGCUGGAUUUUUUUGUCUCUACUAUUUUAUGACCUCACUGCCUGAUCUCCUUUGGGUUCAGCCUGAUUUCUUCAAGUGCUUGAAGCUAUGAUCACUUUUUUCUUUUUUGGAAUGGAGUCUCACUCUGUCAUGUAGGCUGGAGUACAGUUGCAUGAUCUCGGCUCACUACAACUUCCGCCUCCCGGGUUCAAGCAGUUAUCCUGCCUCAGCCUCCUGGUAGCUGGGAUUACAGGUGUGUGCCACCACACCCAACUAAUUUUUGUAUUUUUAUUAGAUACGGGGUUUCACCAUGUUGGCCAGGCUGGUCUUGAACUCCUGACCUCAGAUGAUCUGCCCGCCUUGGCCUCCCAAAGUGCUGGGAUUAUAGGCGUGAGCCACUGCGCCCAGGCAAUGAUCACUUUUUAAAAAACCAAUUAACUCUUUUUAAAAAUACUAAAAUUCUUAAACUUUCUUACUCAUUCUAAAGAAGCAAAAUCUAAACUAAGGCCUGAAUAAUUUUUUAGAAGGUCCCAGUUUCUGUGAGGAGUAAGUAUGGCCCUGACCUUCACUUAAGGUGGCAGAGAAUGUGUCUUUUUCCUCUGCCUUCCCUGGAAGCAUUCUUCUAUCCCCUGCCUUGACCCAGCAUUGCAAGGUAAAAGCUGACACCAGAAGGGGAGACAAGAGGGCAAGGGAAAAACAGAAAGCAAACACACUAAUGCAUCUCACUAUAUGCAUGAACAUCACACGGCCACAUGUGGCUUUUUAUUUCUGAGAAUUUAAUCUCAGAACUAAUCAGGGAUGCCCAUCCUCAACAUCCUCAUCUUGGAAUGGGAAAGAAGAUUCCUUCAUUUCCAAGUAGAUCCCUAGCGAACUGUCCUGAAAAGUUUGGCAAAGUACAACUCCUUUCCGGGAACCAUUUGAAAAUACGAUAUCUUGAUACAAAGCAAAGUUGUUUAGAUUACGUUGUGAUAAAGCUAAAGUAGGGCUCAAUCUCCAUUUAGGCCAGGAGUCACCAAAUUGUUCUGUAAAGGGUCAUUUCAUCUUCACUGAUGAACUCUACCUUUGCAGUGUGAAAGCAGCCAUGGACAAUAUAUAAAUGAAUGGGCAUAGCUGAGUCCCUAAAUAAAACUUUACCUACAAAGAUUACGAAGAUGGAAGGGGGCUUGGGUUUAGCCUACAGGCCAUAAUUUACUGACUCCUGAUUUAGACUAUAAUGAUAAUGAUAAAUAUAAUAAUAAUAAUAAAUAUAACGAGUAUUUCCCUCAUUUAAUUAUUACAAUGAACUCCCAUGAAGUAAAUCCUCAUAUAAAGGGAUGAUAUUGAAAAUAAUUAACAAUUGAUAUGACCAAUCAGAACACACAAAGCAUAGAUGUAUACGGUUGAAAAUCAAACUGCUGUGAUCACCCCACGUUAUAGAUUUGGGAACUGGGCUUAGAAUAGGGGCGUAAAUUAACCUAGAUAUACAAACAGUACACAUAGUCGAGCUGGGCGUUUCAUGCAUGCAGUCUAACUCUAGAGCCCACAUUCUCAGCCACCUGAUACAUGCUGCUGUAGGCCAGAGAGACUUUGCUCCAGAUGCUUGUGUAAGUCCCUACCAGCUGUUCAAUCACAAGCAUGUCUUGCUAAGAGCAAUCUGUUCACACUAUUUCCAAAAAUAUUCAAAACACAGGUGAGCCAAGAUAGUUUAGAAAUAUUGGGCAACCCACUUGGGUCCCCUUCCACACUGUAGAAGCUUUGUUCUUUCGCUCUUUGCAAUAAAUCUUGCUGCUGCUCACUCUUAAAAAAAAAAAAAAGAAAAAAAGAAAUAUUUCAGUAUGUUAAUACUUACAUUGAAAAUAAAUUGACAGAAAAUGUGCGUUCCUUUGGCUUUCUCUAACUUGAGUUUUUCUCCUUCUCUAUCCCUAAUGGCUUAUUCCCGCACUUUCUUCUCUGCUCAGGUCUCUGCUCAAAUGUCUUACUGUGAGGGCUUCCUGACUACCAACAGAUUAAUAAAAUAGCACCCCCUGCCCUGCCCUUCUUAUCUCUCUUUCUCUCUUGCCUUGCUUUAUUUUUCUCCAUAGCAUGUAACACCAUCGUUAUACAUCAGGUCCUUGAAUAAUUUCUUUCAAUGUCAUUUCAUUGCAACAUGAAUGAGAAAAAAAAAUGUUUCCCAGCCUGGGUCAUUGUAUGCAGUUUGCAGGUUCUCCCCAUGUCUGUGUGGGUUUUCUCCAGGUACUCUGGUUUCCUCUCACAUCCCAAAGAUGUGCAUGUUAGGUUCAUUGAUAUGUUUAAAUUGUCCCAGUCUGAGUGAGCGUGUGUGUGUGUGUGUGUGUGUGUGUGUGUGUGUGUGUGUUUGCUGCGAAAGAAUGAGGUCCUGUCCAAGGCUGGUUCCCACCAGUGUCCUGAGCUGCCAUGAUGGACUCCAGCCACCAGCAACCCUGAACUGGAAUAACUGAGUAAAUGUCUUACUUGUUCUUAUUCUUUCUUAAGUGUAUGUAUAGCUCACAUUUAUUUCAAUCUUUAACAUCAGAAGUGUUUUGGUCCUUAUGUAAAAGUUUGGGAAGAGCACGGUGGCUCACGCCUAAAAUUGCAGCACUUUGAGAGGCUGAGGAGGGAGGAUCGCUUGAGCCUAGAAGUUUGAGACCAGCCUGGGCAACACAGUGAGACACCAUCUCUAUUUUGUAAACAUUUAUUUUUAUAUAAAUAAAAAAUGAAAGUUUGGUGAUGUUUUUGUAACCAGAAAUAUGCCAUGGGAACUUAACUGAUGUACACUCCUGUUUACAUCAAUUAGUCUAUAGUAAAAUUGAUUUUGUUAUAUAUCAUUUUGCUUAAGUUGCAGUUUCUAAGAACUCGUGGACACAUUAAGUGAAGACUUACUGUACCACGUUUUGAAUUUAUUUAUUGUUUGCCUCCACUAACGAGAAUAUGAGCUCCACAAAGUUAAGAGCUUUGUCUUGUCAGUUACUAUAUCCUUUAGGACCCGGAACAGCAAUUGGUAAAUGACUGAAUGAAUAUUGUUUACAGUAGAAAGGCCAUAUGGUACGCUAAUUAAAACACUGAAUUUAGAAUCAGAGGUGGGUUGGAAUCAAUCCCAGCUCUGCCACUGACUAGUUGUGUGAUCUUGGACAGGUUAACCACUUGAAGCUUCAGAGACUGCAGUGAGGCCCUGGCAUAGGAACAUGCUCAUCACGGGCAUGUUCACAGAGCAAAGCAGCCAGCGUGACUGCAGCACAGAGUAGGAAGGGUGUGGAAGGAGAUGAGAGAGAAUGAAGAGGGAAUCUUUGAACUUGAUUACCAAGGAGAUGGGAUGAUAAAUCCAUCCAGCCACUCCAAGAAGCCAAGUUAAGGUAAGGUAGAAGAGGACUACAUAUAAAUAGGACAAACCAAAGCAGACACUAAGAAAACAGAAUCCCUCCUUCUUUUUAUUUGAGAAAAUGCCCUGUCUCUUCCCUGGAACAAUAACAAACAAAUGCUUAACUUAUAUAAUGCUUUAAAGAUUAGCAAACUUGAGGCCAAGUGUGGUGGCUCACACCUAUAAUCCCAGCACUUUCAGAGACCUAGGUAGAAGGAUCACUUGAGUUCAGGAGUUCAAGACCAGCCUGGGCAACAUAGUGAGAACCCCAUCUCUACAAUGAAUUUUUUUUUUAAUUAGCUGAGCAUGGUGGCACGCACCUAUAGUCCCAGAUACUCGGGAGGCUGAGGCAGGAGGACCAGUUGAGCCUGGGAGGUUGAGGCUGCAGUGAGCCAUGAUCAUGCCACCACACUCAGAGACCCAGUCUCUUAAAAAAAAAAAAUUAACCAACUUGAUUUUGCCAGACCCUGCAACAAAGGGAAUUCAAAGACUUGAGCUGUCCAUUGAGAAAGAUCUGCUGCUUAAGUUCAAGUUCAUGUCCUCCAGAUGUUUCCCCCAUCCUCCAGGGUCACUGCCUUCUUGUCGAACUUGAAUCUGCCUUCAAUUUAUUAAUGGAUCUGGUUGGUGGCAUCCACUGUUUACCAAGAGCCUUUCUACAAUCCACACUACUGGACUAACGCUUUCCCCUACUUCACUCUACUCUCAAGGGAUGGAAGCACUGAUGAAGAGCACAGACAGAAUCAAGUGUACAUGCAGAACAUAUGGUAACCAUAUAAAGGGAUGAUGUCAAAAUUCUCAGCCUCCUUGCUCUUCAGUAUCUUCUUCCCCUUUACCUCGUCUGGAUGGUGUAUAAUGAAGAGGCACCUAGCGGUGCCUCCUGCCUCUAGAGUAAGAUUCAAGGGAGGAUAUAUAGGCUCCUCCAUAGGGUCAAGAGGUUUUCAAAGGCUGUGUUGUCCCAUCCAGCUACCAAAACAAGAGACAAAAUUGUGACCUGGAGUUGAAACUCUAGUGAGUGAUAAAGAGGGGAAGUUUCCUAAAGCAGAAGUUCUCAGUCUGGGGGCUAUCUGUGUGUUGUGUACUGAAUUUUGUGUCCUCCCAAAAUUCAGACGUUGAAGCCCUAGUCCCCAUUGUGGUUGUAUUUGGAGGUGGGGCUUUGGGAGAUGAUUAGAAUUAGAUUAGUUCAUGAAGGUGAAGCCCUUCUGAUGGGAUUAGUACCCAUACAAGAAGAGACACAAGAUCCCUCUACCAAUUAUGCUAGCUCUCCUCUCUUUCUCUCUCCACCGUCUGGGAUACUUCAGGAAGAUGUCUGUCUGCAAACCAGGAAGAGGUCCCUCAAGCACUAAAUCUGCUGGCACCUUGAUCUUGGGCUUCCCAGCCUUUAGGACUGUGAGAAAUCUUUGCUGUUUAAGCAAUCCCAUCUAUGGUAUUUUGUUACAGCAGCCCAAGCUGACUAAGACACUGUGGAUACCUUGCAUGCCUGGGAGGCUUGCACAUCCUUGGACAUUAUAAGUAAUAUUUUUCUGAAAAGGGGUCAUAACUCUCAUCGGAGAGUCAAAAGACCAAGUCUAUGACUCCCAAAAGAUUAUAUACCACUGACGGAGUGGCCCUUGUGUUCUUAUCCUGUAGAACCACAAGAAACUUGAGGAUUGGGGAUCCUAGUCCUGGCCUUCAUUCCGUACUUGCAUGACCAACAUCUAAGAGUACUAACAAAUAUGAUGAAAUAAGAAAGAUUCAAGAGGAUACACAUAUUUUCUUUGUCCAAUGUUGCUAAUAUCCACCUGAGAGUUUAUUAUCCAUAAUAAAAUGUGGAAUCCAGUCUGUACACCAUGAUCCUUAGCAUGCACUUGUACUGUUUCCUAUAAGCUUUUAAUAAUAUCAACCUUAGAUUCCAAGGAACCUAAAUCACUGGGCCUAACACUACCACUGAUUUUUUCCCCACUUCCCCUCCAGUAUUAUGGUGUAUUCCAAAGCCAAAUAUAAUUUUUUGGUGGCUCGUUGUGAUUAAUUUCUGUUCCACUGAGCCUAUCCAUAGAACAGGCAAUGCAACUUUGGAAAAAACGGUAGUCUAACUUAUUUUUGCAUCAUAUAGACUGUACAGCAAAGGUGAAGGGACCAAUAUGAGUAUUACUGGGGCACCGAGGGAAAACAUUUUCAGAAGAGAUCAAGAAAAAUGUGACUCAACAUGAAUGAACCCUGAAAACAUUAUGCUAAGUGAAAGAAAGCAAACGUGAAAGACCAUACGUUGUAUGAUUCCAUUUACAUGAAAUGUCAAGAAUAGGCAAAUCCAAAGAAACUAAAGUAGAUGAGUGAUUGCCAGGGGAUAAGGGAAGAGAGAAAGGGGAGUCACUGCUAAUGGACAUGGGCUCUCUUUUUGGGGUAAUGAAAAUGUUUUGAAAUUAGAUAGUGGUAGUGGUGUACAACUCUGUGACUGUACCAAAAACCACUGAGUUGUACAAUUUUAAAGGCUGAAUUUUAUCAUAUAUGAAAUAUAUCUCAGUUUUUAAAAAGAAGAAAAAAGAUGUUAUUCAAAAAGGAUUCCUCACAGUUAUAGCUCAGUCACUUAUUUGGCAAUUAAUUUGGGGGCACAGUCUUGAGAUAGUUCUAUGUAUAGGUCCAUGCUGCUUAAACUCCCUGACUCCACCUCAGCCAAUGGAUAUUAUCUUACUGGCUUUUCUGUUU